rnacentral:rRNA from 1 species
AUUGAACGCUGGCGGCAGGCCUAACACAUGCAAGUCGAACGAGUGGCGGACGGGUGAGUAAUGUCUGGGAAACUGCCUGAUGGAGGGGGAUAACUACUGGAAACGGUAGCUAAUACCGCAUACCAUCAGAUGUGCCAAGACGGGAUUAGCUAGGGGGUGGGGUAACGGCUCACCAAGGCGACGAUCCCGAGCUGGUCUGAGAGGAUGACCAGCCACACUGGAACGGCUACACGGUGCAGACUCCUAAGGGAGGCAGCAGUGGCGAAUAUUGCACAAGUGGCGCAAGCCUGAUGCAGCCAGCGCGGGUGUAUGAAGAAGGCCUUCGGUUUGUAAAGUACUUUCAGCGGGGAGGCGUUACCCGCAGAAGAAGCACCGGCUAACUCCGGGCCAGCAGCCGCGGUAAUAC